rnacentral:rRNA from 1 species
UAAUACGUAGGGUCCAAGCGUUAAUCGGAAUUACUGGGCGUAAAGCGUCCGCAGGUGGCUUGAUAAGAUAGACGUGAAAUCCCUGGGCUCAACCUAGGAAUUGCGUUUAUGACUGUCUCGCUAGAGUAUGGGAGAGGGGGGUGGAAUUCCACGUGUAGCAGUGAAAUGCGUAGAGAUGUGGAGGAACACCGAUGGCGAAGGCAACCCCCUGGCCUAAUACUGACACUCAUGGACGAAAGCGUGGGGAGCAAACAGG